CCUACGGGGGGCAGCAGUGGGGAAUCUUAGACAAUGGGGGCAACCCUGAUCUAGCCAUGCCGCGUGAUCGAUGAAGGCCUUAGGGUUGUAAAGAUCUUUCAGUGGGGAAGCGGUACCCACAGAAGAAGCCCCGGCUAACUCCGUGCCAGCAGCCGCGGUAAUACGGAGGGGGCUAGCGUUAUUCGGAAUUACUGGGCGUAAAGCGCACGUAGGCGGAUCGGAAAGUUGGGGGUGAAAUCCCAGGGCUCAACCCUGGAACUGCCUUCAAAACUCCCGGUCUUGAGGUCGUGAGAGGUGAGUGGAAUUCCGAGUGUAGAGGUGAAAUUCGUAGAUAUUCGGAGGAACACCAGUGGCGAAGGCGGCUCACUGGCACGAACUGACGCUGAGGUGCGAAAGCGUGGGGAGCAAACAGGAUUAGAUACCCUUGUAGUC
rnacentral:rRNA from 1 species